AUCCCUACUAAUUUCAAAUAUUAAACUUACUAACACCCAGCGUCGUCCUUUUAAAGGUUUAUAACAAAAAGAAGGUUUAAGGAUGUGGUAUAAGGUAUUCAAAAGCACAAAUCACAUUGUUACUAACACAUGUAAUAAGGUACAAAGUAAUUACUAGACUAUUAACAUUCAAUUGUUAAUGCAUUAUAAUGCAUUGAUUUUUUAACCACGACUAAUAACACUCC